rnacentral:tRNA from 1 species
GAGCGGUAGUUCAGUUGGUUAGAAUACCGGCCUGUCACGCCGGGGGUCGCGGGUUCGAGUCCCGUCCACUCC